rnacentral:rRNA from 1 species
GGCGGACGGGUGAGUAAUGCUUGGGAAUCUGGCUUAUGGAGGGGGAUAACCACGGGAAACUGUGGCUAAUACCGCGUAAUGUCUAAGGACUAAAGGGUGGGACUUUCGGGCCACCUGCCAUAAGAUGAGCCCAAGUGGGAUUAGGUAGUUGGUGGGGUAAAGGCCUACCAAGCCGACGAUCUCUAGCUGGUCUGAGAGGAUGACCAGCCACACUGGAACUGAGACACGGUCCAGACUCCUACGGGAGGCAGCAGUGGGGAAUAUUGCACAAUGGGGGGAACCCUGAUGCAGCCAUGCCGCGUGAAUGAAGAAGGCCUUCGGGUUGUAAAGUUCUUUCGGUGAUGAGGAAGGCAGGUAAGUGAAUAGCUUACUUGAUUGACGUUAGUCACAGAAGAAGCACCGGCUAACUCCGUGCCAGCAGCCGCGGUAAUACGGAGGGUGCGAGCGUGAAUCGGAAUGACUGGGCGUAAAGGGCACGCAGGCGGUGACUUAAGUGAGAUGUGAAAGCC